UGCUGGGCCGUGCGCCGCUUCGGGGAUCACAGGGCCGGAGAUGGACGCCCCGCCCGGCGCUGGGAGAGGUCUGGUCCCCGUCACCUUCCUCCUGGGCUGCUCCUUGCUCCUGUGCUCAGGGGCGCGGCUCCCCCCAUCGUAUCCCCCCAACAGGCUGUGGACGCGGGAUGCCCCACAGGACCCCGCCGACCCCGCCGGACGCCCC